rnacentral:rRNA from 1 species
GAUGAACGCUGGCGGCGUGCCUAAUACAUGCAAGUCGAGCGAACGGACGAGAAGCUUGCUUCUCUGAUGUUAGCGGCGGACGGGUGAGUAACACGUGGAUAACCUACCUAUAAGACUGGGAUAACUUCGGGAAACCGGAGCUAAUACCGGAUAAUAUUUUGAACCGCAUGGUUCAAAAGUGAAAGACGGUCUUGCUGUCACUUAUAGAUGGAUCCGCGCUGCAUUAGCUAGUUGGUAAGGUAACGGCUUACCAAGGCAACGAUGCAUAGCCGACCUGAGAGGGUGAUCGGCCACACUGGAACUGAGACACGGUCCAGACUCCUACGGGAGGCAGCAGUAGGGAAUCUUCCGCAAUGGGCGAAAGCCUGACGGAGCAACGCCGCGUGAGUGAUGAAGGUCUUCGGAUCGUAAAACUCUGUUAUUAGGGAAGAACAUAUGUGUAAGUAACUGUGCACAUCUUGACGGUACCUAAUCAGAAAGCCACGGCUAACUACGUGCCAGCAGCCGCGGUAAUACGUAGGUGGCAAGCGUUAUCCGGAAUUAUUGGGCGUAAAGCGCGCGUAGGCGGUUUUUUAAGUCUGAUGUGAAAGCCCACGGCUCAACCGUGGAGGGUCAUUGGAAACUGGAAAACUUGAGUGCAGAAGAGGAAAGUGGAAUUCCAUGUGUAGCGGUGAAAUGCGCAGAGAUAUGGAGGAACACCAGUGGCGAAGGCGACUUUCUGGUCUGUAACUGACGCUGAUGUGCGAAAGCGUGGGGAUCAAACAGGAUUAGAUACCCUGGUAGUCCACGCCGUAAACGAUGAGUGCUAAGUGUUAGAGGGUUUCCGCCCCUUAGUGCUGCAGCUAACGCAUUAAGCACUCCGCCUGGGGAGUACGACCGCAAGGUUGAAACUCAAAGGAAUUGACGGGGACCCGCACAAGCGGUGGAGCAUGUGGUUUAAUUCGAAGCAACGCGAAGAACCUUACCAAAUCUUGACAUCCUUUGACAACUCUAGAGAUAGAGCUUUCCCCUUCGGGGGACAAAGUGACAGGUGGUGCAUGGUUGUCGUCAGCUCGUGUCGUGAGAUGUUGGGUUAAGUCCCGCAACGAGCGCAACCCUUAAGCCUAUUUGCCAUCAUUAAGUUGGGCACUCUAAGUUGACUGCCGGUGACAAACCGGAGGAAGGUGGGGAUGACGUCAAAUCAUCAUGCCCCUUAUGAUUUGGGCUACACACGUGCUACAAUGGACAAUACAAAGGGCAGCGAAACCGCGAGGUCAAGCAAAUCCCAUAAAGUUGUUCUCAGUUCGGAUUGUAGUCUGCAACUCGACUACAUGAAGCUGGAAUCGCUAGUAAUCGUAGAUCAGCAUGCUACGGUGAAUACGUUCCCGGGUCU